UACGAAGGGGGGCUAGCGUUGCUCGGAAUCACUGGGCGUAAAGCGCACGUAGGCGGAUUGUUAAGUCAGGGGUGAAAUCCUGGAGCUCAACUCCAGAACUGCCUUUGAUACUGGCGAUCUCGAGUCCGGGAGAGGUGAGUGGAACUGCGAGUGUAGAGGUGAAAUUCGUAGAUAUUCGCAAGAACACCAGUGGCGAAGGCGGCUCACUGGCCCGGUACUGACGCUGAGGAGCGAAAGCGUGGGGAGCGAACAGG
rnacentral:rRNA from 1 species